GGAGAAAAGCAGGGGAUCGAAAGACCUUAUGCUUUUGGAGCGGCCGAUGUCUGAUUAGCUAGUUGGUAGGGUAAUGGCUUACCAAGGCGACGAUCAGUAGUUGGUCUGAGAGGACGACCAGCCACACUGGGACUGAGACACGGCCCAGACUCCUACGGGAGGCAGCAGUGGGGAAUUUUGGACAAUGGGCGCAAGCCUGAUCCAGCAAUGCCGCGUGAGUGAAGAAGGCCUUCGGGUUGUAAAGCUCUUUCAGUUGAAAAGAAAAAGCCGUGACUAAUAAUCAUGGUUCAUGACGGUAUCAACAGAAGAAGCACCGGCUAACUACGUGCCAGCAGCCGCGGUAAUACGUAGGGUGCAAGCGUUAAUCGGAAUUACUGGGCGUAAAGGGUGCGCAGGCGGUUCUGUAAGUCAGAUGUGAAAUCCCCGGGCUUAACCUGGGAACUGCGUUUGAAACUACAAAG
rnacentral:rRNA from 1 species